rnacentral:rRNA from 1 species
CCUACGGGUGGCAGCCGUGAGGAAUAUUGCACAAUGGGGGAAACCCUGAUGCAGCCACGCCGCGUGAAGGAAGACGGUUUUCGGAUUGUAAACUUCUAUCUAUAGGGAAGAAAGAACUGACGGUACCUAACUAAGAAGCCCCGGCUAACUACGUGCCAGCAGCCGCGGUAAUACGUAGGGGGCAAGCGUUAUCCGGAAUUACUGGGUGUAAAGGGAGAGUAGGCGGCAAGGUAAGCGAUAUGUGAAAGCCUUAAGCUUAACUUAAGGAUGGCAUAACGAACUAGCGAGCUAGAGUACAGGAGAGGAAAGCGGAAUGCGUGGUGUAGCGGUGAAAUGCGUAGAUAUUAGGAAGAACACCAGUGGCGAAGGCGGCUUUCUGGACUGAAACUGACGCUGAGGCUCGAAAGCGUGGGGAGCGAACAGGAUUAGAUACCCCAGUAGUC